UCAGUUGAUUAUUUUGCCUGCAGGUGCUGACAGUGUGUCCACAGUGAACUGGGUGUCUGCAUGGAGAGGAGGGUCUGUCACCAUCCCAUGUUUCUAUGGUGACAGAUAUAAAACUCAUGUGAAAUACUGGUGCAGAGGGAGAGAAUGGAGUUCAUGUACUCCCAUAGUACACAGUGACUCUCCACAGGAGGGUAACGUGUCAGUCAGAGAUGAUCCUGACCAGCGAGUCUUCACUCUGACCAUCAACAAUCUGACAGCUGGGGACUCUGGUUAUUACUCCUGUGGUCUGAAGGUCAAUGGACGUUCAGAAUCUGGAACUUGGGUUGAACUGUCAGUCACUGAUGGUGUGUCCACAGUGAAAGCCGUGUCUCUACAGGGAGGAGGAUCUGUCACCAUCCCAUGUUUCUAUGAGGACAGAUAUAAAACUCAUGUGAAAUACUGGUGCAGAGAGUACUCCCGUAGUACACAGUGACUCUCCACAGGAGGCUAAAGUGUUAAUCAGAGGUGAUCCUGACCAGCGAAUCUUCACUGUGACCAUCAACAAUCUGACAGUUUGGGAUUCUGAUGAGUACUCAUGUGGUGUGAAGAUCAGUGGACGUUCAGAUGCUGAAGCAUCACUUUACCUGUCAGUCACUGAUGAUUCCACAUGGCUGUCAGUGGACAAACAGGAGGUGACGGGUGUGGAAGGAGACAGUGUCAGUGUUCAGUGUCGCUAUGGAAACAGUAACAGUCUGAAACUGUGGUGUAAGAUCGGGGGCUCCUGUGUGUCAGAGAGAUCUGGGAGUUUGGAUGGGAGGCCUGUCCUGAUCAGGGAUGACAGAGUAAAUAAAGUCUUCAGUGUGACAAUGGGGGGACUGGAGAGGAAGGACACUGGCUGGUACUGGUGUGCUGACAGAGACCAUCAGAUCCCAGUUCAUAUUACUGUCAAUCAGACAACUACAACCACAACCAGCA